CCCGACUCCGUGAAGCUGGAUUCGCUAGUAAUCGCGCAUCAGCCAUGGCGCGGUGAAUACGUUCCCGGGCCUUGUACACACCGCCCGUCAAGCCAUGGGAGCCGGGGGUGCUUGAAGUGCGUCGCCGCAAGGCGCGCCCUAGAGCAAAACCGGUGACUGGGGCUAAGUCGUAACAAGGUACC
rnacentral:rRNA from 1 species